GUGAGCGCCCAACCCCCUUUUCUUUUUCCCCCCCCCCCCCCACCACCACCAAUUUUUCUUGUCCCAUUUGAAAGAAGACCAACAAAAAAAUCCUCUUUUUAAUCUUCCCGUCAUGAGCACCACCACCCACGCUGCAGCUUCGGUUCCGCAGAGCAUCCCUGCAGCCUCGCUGUCUCCUCCUUCUGUCCCCUUGGAGCCACUGACUCCUCCCUGCUACACCAGUUCCGCUCUCGC
rnacentral:ribozyme from 1 species